rnacentral:lncRNA from 1 species
GGGUAGUCGGCUUCCCUCAUCUUCCUUCUCCCUCUUCCCCUGCUUGUGCGCUCUCUCUCUCUCUCUCUCUCAACUAACUAACUAACUAACUAACUAACUAACUAAAUGCCUUUUUGAAAAAGGCUCCGUCAACUUGGAGACUCACCAAAAUCUCUCUCUCUCAUUCUCUCCCUCCCUUGGCUGCUGCAGGCUGAGGAAGCAAGAUGUGGCAGGCAGGUGCCUCCUCCGCCAGCCGGGGAGCUCGGGGCGCAGUCUCCCCCGUGGAGCCUCGGUGGGCCCCGGGCCAACGCCUCCGUUCCGGCCCGCAGGGCGCUGAGCCGAGAACCGGUGGCAGCCGCCUCGGCCAAGCGGGCCUUGACCUCUUCAGCAAGGGAAGGUGGCUUCGUUCCCCAAAGACGAAGCCAGGACCCGCGCAACCCUCGGGUGACGGCCUGCGGGAGGAUGCGGGCCGCGUGGCAGACGCCCUCGGGGGCGGAAAUGCAGCUUCCUCUGCGGUGCCAAGCGCUUCAGGGCGGGAGAUGCUGCCGCUGUCAACCACCUGCUGGGUGAUCAGCCCGAAGCGGGGGCAGAAGGCGGGUGCCCAGCGGUGUGGCUUCGCGGGCCCCACUUAGCGUCUGGCCUUGGUCGGCUGCCCGUCUCGUGGUGGUGCCCGGGGAUCCUAAUGCUGAUGCCCAAAGCUUGGAGGCGGGAGGUCUUCCCGGGCCCCAGACCAGUGCCCUGGGCUGGCACAGUGACUUGCAGGGGCGCUGGCCCCAGCACGGAUGGCAGCUAGCGCCUCGGCGGCCCCAGCACGUCCCCCACCUCAGCGGGGCCCUCCUUGGCGACACAAAGCCCACCCUCCCCCAGUCGGGAGGCAACAGUUUCUCCAGAGCUGGGUUGGUCCCCAGAUGCCGGGGAAGGCCGCGCGCCCCGUUCUUGCCCCGCAGCCUCCCAGCCUUCCCGCCGAGGGCCGCGCGGAUCUGCUGCACCUGCGUGGGCUCCAUGUCGUCCACUCCACGAUGGAGCAUUCGGGAUGAUCAUCCAAAAGUUGGGUGAUCUUAAGGCAGCAGUUGGGCCUCUAGGGCCCGCUGUCCUCCCCGGGCAUUGCGGCGGCGCGUGGGGAAGGCCAUACAGGGACAGGGACGCGUCACCCUCCCAGGAAGCCCGAGAGAGCCACGGCCCGUGCACUUUUAAGCGGCCGAAGCCGCUGGUCUUCCCUGUCGGGAGCAGACCCUCCUGGCGCCCCGCGGAAGGCCCGACCCAGGCAAGCCUACAGGAAGAGGCACCUCUGUCUUUGUCUAGUACCUUUGUAGCUUUGUCAUUGCAUUUAAAUCUUUAAUCCAACUGAAGAGGGUUUUGAUAAAUGGCGUGGUACUGAGAGGUCUGCCUUUACGUUUUUUCAAAUGUAUCAAUAAUAUAUAUUGAAUAAUCGUUUGCUUUUCCAUUGAAUUCCUAUCAAACUAAAAGUCUGAUUUUGGCCUUUUCUAUGUCAUAUUAAAUCUGCUAGAUUCUGCCUUGGUAUCAAACUAUUUUCAUUAUUAGGACUUUAUAAUUCAUUUUUAAUAUCUAAUAGGGAAAAGCACCCUUCACUUCUCUUCCUUUCUAAACUGUCCUCAUGGGACGCCUGGGGGGCUCAGCGGUUGAGCGUCUGCCUUCAGCUCAGGGCAUGACCCUGGGGUCCUGGGAUCGAGUCCCGCAUCGGGGCUCCUGCAGGGAGCCUGCUUCUCCCUCUGCUGUGUCUCUCUCUGCCUUUGUGUCUCUCAUGAAUAAAUAAAUAAAAUCUUUUAAAAAAUAAAAAUUA